rnacentral:rRNA from 1 species
GAUGAACGCUGGCGGCGUGCCUAAUACAUGCAAGUCGAGCGAACAGACGAGGAGCUUGCUCCUCUGACGUUAGCGGCGGACGGGUGAGUAACACGUGGAUAACCUACCUAUAAGACUGGGAUAACUUCGGGAAACCGGAGCUAAUACCGGAUAAUAUAUUGAACCGCAUGGUUCAAUAGUGAAAGACGGUUUUGCUGUCACUUAUAGAUGGAUCCGCGCCGCAUUAGCUAGUUGGUAAGGUAACGGCUUACCAAGGCAACGAUGCGUAGCCGACCUGAGAGGGGGAUCGGCCACACAGGAACUGAGACACGGUCCAGACUCCUACGGGAGGCAGCAGUAGGGAAUCUUCCGCAAUGGGCGAAAGCCUGACGGAGCAACGCCGCGUGAGUGAUGAAGGUCUUCGGAUCGUAAAACUCUGUUAUUAGGGAAGAACAAAUGUGUAAGUAACUAUGCACGUCUUGACGGUACCUAAUCAGAAAGCCACGGCUAACUACGU